CCCCUGUAUUCCUCCACGGUUCAGAAACCUGGUGGCAGAUCAGGUCCCUAACUAUACCUCCUGGAGUCAGCACUGCCCCUGGGUGCCCCAGAAACAACCACCUUCGGAAUUUUUGCAAGUUUUAGAACCAGGUGCCCAAGGACUAUGGAAACCCCCAGACAUUAAAGGGAAGCCUAUGGUUCGCUAUGAAACAUUUCCACGGGGCCAGUGCCUCCUCUACAACUGGGAGGAAGAGAGAGCCACCAACCACCUGGAUCAAGUCCCAAGCAUGCAGGAUGGCUCUGAGAGUUUUUUCUUCCGACACGGACACCGGGGACUGCGGACUAUGCAACUAAAGUCACCCAUGCCCCCCAGCACCACCCAGAAAGACUCGUACCAGCCACCAGGAAACGUCUGUUGGCCACUUCGAGGGAAGCGUGAAGCCAUGCUGGAGAUGCUCCUGCGGCAUCAAAUCUGUAAAGAGGUGCAGGCAGAACAGGAACUCACAAGGAAGCUCUUCGAGGUUGAGUCUGUGACACACCAUGACUACCGAAUGGAGCUGGCGCAAGCAGGGACUCCUGCCCCAACAAAGCCUCACGACUACCGCCAGGAGCAGCCUGAGACCUUCUGGAUACAGAGGGCACCACAGCUACCGGGUGUCAGUAACAUCAGGACAUUGGACACACCAUUCCGGAAGAACUGCAGCUUCUCAACACCAGUACCCUUGUCUUUGGGGCAACAUUUGCCCUAUUAGCCUGAGAAUUACCCCUACCAAUUGGGAGAAAUCUCUUCCCUUCCCUGUCCCGGAGGAAGGCUGGGUGGUGGAGGGGGGAGAAUAACUCCUGUCUGAGGGGUGAGGAGGGAAGUGUAUGGAAUAUGGAAUCUAUUUCUGUCUGCACUAGAGAGGUCGGGAGGAAG
rnacentral:sRNA from 1 species